GAUGAACGCUGGCGGCGUGCUUAACACAUGCAAGUCGAACGAUGAAGCCCAGCUUGCUGGGUGGAUUAGUGGCGAACGGGUGAGUAACACGUGAGUACCUGCCCUUAACUCUGGGAUAAGCCUGGGAAACUGGGUCUAAUACCGGAUAGGAGCGUCCACCGCAUGGUGGGUGUUGGAAAGAUUUAUCGGUUUUGGAUGGACUCGCGGCCUAUCAGCUUGUUGGUGAGGUAAUGGCUCACCAAGGCGACGACGGGUAGCCGGCCUGAGAGGGUGACCGGCCACACUGGGACUGAGACACGGCCCAGACUCCUACGGGAGGCAGCAGUGGGGAAUAUUGCACAAUGGGCGCAAGCCUGAUGCAGCGACGCCGCGUGAGGGAUGACGGCCUUCGGGUUGUAAACCUCUUUCAGUAGGGAAGAAGCGAAAGUGACGGUACCUGCAGAAGAAGCACCGGCUAACUACGUG
rnacentral:rRNA from 1 species